rnacentral:rRNA from 1 species
GUGGGGAAUAUUGGACAAUGGGGGGAACCCUGAUCCAGCCAUGCCGCGUGUGUGAAGAAGGCCUUUUGGUUGUAAAGCACUUUAAGCGAGGAGGAGGCUACCGAGAUUAAUACUCUUGGAUAGUGGACGUUACUCGCAGAAUAAGCACCGGCUAACUCUGUGCCAGCAGCCGCGGUAAUACAGAGGGUGCAAGCGUUAAUCGGAUUUACUGGGCGUAAAGCGCGCGUAGGUGGCCAAUUAAGUCAAAUGUGAAAUCCCCGAGCUUAACUUGGGAAUUGCAUUCGAUACUGGUUGGCUAGAGUAUGGGAGAGGAUGGUAGAAUUCCAGGUGGAGCGGUGAAAUGCGUAGAGAUCUGGAGGAAUACCGAUGGCGAAGGCAGCCAUCUGGCCUAAUACUGACACUGAGGUGCGAAAGCAUGGGGAGCAAACAGGAUUAGAAACCCUAGUAGUCC